rnacentral:misc_RNA from 1 species
CAGGUUGGUCGAUUAAACUCCCCUCGUAGGUGCUUGCAAACUGAACAACAGUUGACGUUUUUUUAGUGCCCAAUAUUGGGCGUGAAAACUUGCAUGAGAUCUGUGACUCGACAUGAAGGGAAAAACUGUGUGCUGGUGACAUCAUGAAGAGUACCAAUAGAUUUACAACAUGACUUUUGAGUAAAUCAAGUCUAGCAAUUGAGGAUUGUACGAUUGCUGGAAGAAGGGGGAAUGUUGCAUUCUCAUUCAAACCCAACCUAAAUAAGGUUGAUUCUUUGUAAUAAGGUCCGCCAACCUGACCUGUUUAGUACCGGUCAUCUCAGCUCUCACCUGUUGGAUGACUUCCAAUUUGCUGAAGUUUAAGUUUCAUCAUCAUUGCGGAAUCUUUUCGAGGACUAUGAAAAGGAGAUCCUCGACUUCGAUUCACAGCAGUUCUUCCAUUUCAACUGAACUAUCAAGUCGUAUUGCUGUGCCGUCAACCCAAGAAUUAAAAAUGAUGAAGUUGUUUCUCAUUUCUCUGAUCGGUGCCAUUUUCAUGACAACUGUGUCCGCUCGCUUGUGGGAAUAUUCCGACAGUAACCAGGUUCGAUGGUCGACAAAUUGUAAUUUCCUUGGCAGCGAUUACCUGCUGAUUUUUGCAGCCAACGAUCAGUGCGGAAAAAUUUGCCUCGACAACUGGGGUUGUACUCAUUUCACCGCCAGUCGAACUAGCUGUUCUCUAAAAAGGAAUACAAUUGGGUGGACCGAAAGCUUUUCUCGCAAUGAAGUCAGUGGAUUCAUCCCUGGUCGCAGCACCCAAAGUGUUGAACCUCGAAAACCCGCUGUUAAAAAUUAAGGAGUUAUAUAACAAAAGAUUUGAGUACAAUUUGUGCUCUCUCUUUGUUUGUACCGGAAGACGAAGGUGCACUACUCACAUUUUUAUAGAAGAAUUUUACGUUUUUUAAUGCCAUGUAAUCUUUAAUUUUUUGUUUACUUACGAAAUUGACGUGGGUGCAAUAAUUACGGUGUAUUUUUUAAAAUUUCAAUUUUAGCUACUUUACUAUCAGUUUGUCAUUUUCACAAUCAGUGCUAUUGAAUUUUUAAUCAAUUCUCUCAUUCGUGUUGAAAUAAUACAGUAUCUUAAGGCCUUA